UACGGAGGGUGCGAGCGUUGUCCGGAAUCACUGGGCGUAAAGGGCGCGUAGGUGGCGCGGGAAGUCAACGGUGAAAGUUCGGGGCUCAACCCUGAAUCGGCCGUCGAUACUCCUGGGCUCGAGCACUGUAGAGGCAGAUGGAAUUCCGGGUGUAGCGGUGGAAUGCGUAGAGAUCCGGAAGAACACCGGUGGCGAAGGCGGUCUGCUGGGCAGUUGCUGACACUGAGGCGCGACAGCGUGGGGAGCAAACAGG
rnacentral:rRNA from 1 species